AACGGCCGUACCAUGCUGAAUAUACCGGUUCUCGUUAGAUCACCGAAGUUAAGCAUCAUUGGGCGCGGUCGGUACUUGCGUGGAGUGACCACCUGGGAAGCACUGCGUGCCGU
rnacentral:rRNA from 1 species